ensembl:lncRNA
CGUGCCCCUCUGUCACCCCCAAAAUGGGCAUUUCUCGCCCCAUUUUAGCUCCAAACCAGCUUCCCCUGCCCCACUUCCACCCCAAGACGGGGUUUUCCGCCCCAUUUUCACCUCCCCAUAGCACCCCCCGUCCCAUUUUCGCCCUAAAAUGAGGCUUCCAGCUGUGACCACCCCCCAUAAGCAGCAUUUCCUGCCCCAUUUUCUCCCCAGUCGGCGCCUCCCGCCCCAUUCCCAUAAGAAAAAUUGGGAUUUCCGCUGCAAAACGGGCUCUUUCACCCUGUUUUCACCCCAAACUGGAAUUCCUCACACCACUUACACCCCAAAAUCGCAUUUCUUGACCCGUUUUCAGCCCCAAACCGGAUUUCACCACCCGAUUUCCACCAAAAAAAGCAGGUUUUCCGCCCGACUUCCACCAAAAAAUGGCUAUUUUUCCCCAUUUCCACCCCAAACCUAGAUUCUUCACGCCAUUUCCCCCCAAAAUCGUGGGGAUUUUUGCCCCGUUUCCACCAAAAUGAGGCUUGCCCGUUUUAUCCCUACCCCCCCCAAUUGGCUCUUCCAUCCCAUUUUCACCCCAAGCCGCAAUUCUUCACCCCAUCUGCAGCCGAAAAUCGCAUUUUUCACCACGUUCUGCCCCACUCUUACCCCAAAAUGGGAUUUUUUUACCCCAUUUUCAGCCGAAAAUCGGCCCCAUUUUUACCCCCAAAGAAUUUCUUUCCCCAUCCACUCGCAUCACAGCAGACCUCCAAUUAACAACCAUUAAUUAAGCGGCGUCCCCGCUCUCGCCAUCGCAACGCAAACCCCUCAGGAUGGGAAAUUCCACCAUGGCCGAGUUGGUUUUUCCCAUUUUUUCCCCCCAAUUUUUUCCUCAAGUUUUCCUUUUUUUCCUACAUUUUCCUUCCUGCGCCAUUUUCCUCUUUCCCAACCUUUUCCUCCCCGAUUUUUUCCCUUUUCCCGGCUUUUUCCCCUCGUUUCCGUCCUCUUUUGUCUCCACGUCCACCCUCUUCUCCAACCUCUUCGUCUUCGACUUUUUCAGCGUCAUCUUCCCCUUUUCUUUCCCAACUUUUCCCUUUUCCCAAAGUUUUCCCAUUAUUUCUCCUCACCAACUUUGCCUUUUUGUCCAACUUCUUCCCCAUUUUUGUGCCCAACCUCUCUGUCUUCUCUGCCAUCUCUUAGAGCUCAUCUUUCCCAUUUCCUUCCCAACUUUUCCCAUUUCCUUCCCAACUUUUCCCCAUUUUCCUUCCCAACUUUUCCCCAUUUUCUUCCCCAACUUUUUCCCACUUUCUUUCCCAACUUUUCCCAUUUUCUUUCCCAACUUUUCCCUUUCCCAUCGCCUCCUCCAACCUCCUCAAUGGGUGAAGCCCCUCUCAGGAUUUCCUUCUUUCUCAUUUCUUUCCCAACUUUUUCCUUCCCAACAUUCCCAUUUUCCCAAAGGUUUCCCAUUAUUUUUUCCUCUUCCACCCUCUUCAACGCGUCCCCUUUCCCCUUUUCCUUCCCAACUUUUCUCUUCUCCAAUUUCCUCAAUGGGAGAAGCAGCUCCCAUAGUUUCCUUCUUGCCCAUUUCCUUCCCAACUUUUCCCAGAGUUUUCCCAUUAUUUCUCCUCACCAACUUUCCCUUUUUGUCCAACUUCUUCCCCAUUUUUGUGCCCAACCUCUCUGUCUUCUCUGCCAUCUCUUAGAGCUCAUCUUUCCCAUUUUCUUUCCCAACUUUUUCCCAUUUUCUUUCCCAACUUUUCCCAUUUUCUUUCCCAACUUUUCCCAUUUUCUUUCCCAACUUUUCCCAUUUUCUUUCCCAACUUUUCCCCAAUUUCUUCCCCAACUUUUCCCUUUCCCAUCGCCUCCUCCCACCUCCUCAAUGGGUGAAGGCCCUCUCAAGAUUUCCUUCUUUCCCAUUUCUUUCCUUUUUCCUUCCAAACUUCCCCCUUUUCCCAAAGGUUUCCCAUUAUUUUCCUUUUCCACCCUCUUCAACGCGUCCCCCUUUUCCUUCCCAACUUUUCCCUUAUCCCAACAUUUCCCUUCUCGUAUUUCCACAAUAGGAGAAGCAGCUCCCAUAGUUUCCUUCUUGCCCAUUUCCUUCCCAAUUUUUCCCAAAGGUUUCCCAUUAUUUCUCUGGUUUCUCUGCCAUCUCCCAGAGCUCAUCUUUCCCAUUUCCUUCUCAACUUUUCCCUUUUCCCCAACAUUUCCCAGCAUUUCCCUUUCCCAUCCUCUCCUGUAACUCCUCCAUCAGCCGAAGCCACUCUCACCGUUUCCUUCUUUCCCCUUUUCCUUCCCAACUUUCGCCUUUUCCCAAAGUUUUCCCAUUAUUUCUCCUCACCAACUUUGCCUUUUUGUCCAACUUCUUCCCCAUCUUUGUGCCCAACCUCUUUGUCUUCUCUGCCGUCUCUUAGGACUCAACUUUUCCCGUCUUCUUUCCCAUCUUUUCCCGUCUUCUUUCCCACCUUUUCCCGUCUUCUUUCCCAACUUUUCCCACCGCCUCCUCCAACCCGCUCUCACCGUUUCCUUCUUUCCCUUUUCCCUCCCAACUUCCCCCUUUUCCCGCAGUUUUCCCCCCUUUUCCUGCUCCAUCUUUCUCCUCCUGUCCAUCAUCCCUGCCCUCCUUCCCCUCCUUUCUGUCCUCUCAGUCUGAUCCUUCCCGCUUUGUUUCCCACAUUUUUCCUUUCCCCUUUUCCCUCCCUCCCC